CCUACGGGAGGCAGCAGUAGGGAAUCUUCCACAAUGGGCGCAAGCCUGAUGGAGCAACACCGCGUGAGUGAAGAAGGGUUUCGGCUCGUAAAGCUCUGUUGUUGGAGAAGAACGUGCGUGAGAGUAACUGUUCACGCAGUGACGGUAUCCAACCAGAAAGUCACGGCUAACUACGUGCCAGCAGCCGCGGUAAUACGGAGGUGGCAAGCGUUAUGCGGAUUUAUUGGGCGUAAAGCGAGCGCAGGCGGUUGCCUAGGUCUGAUGUGAAAGCCUUGGGCUUAACCCAAGAAGUGCAUCGGAAACCGGGCAACUUGAGUGCAGAAGAGGACAGUGGAACUCCAGGUGUAGCGGUGGAAUGCGUAGAUAUAUGGAAGAACACCAGUGGCGAAGGCGGCUGUCUGGUCUGCAACUGACGCUGAGGCUCGAAAGCAUGGGUAGCGAACAGGAUUAGAUACCCUAGUAGUC
rnacentral:rRNA from 1 species